AACCUGCGGAAGGAUCAUUGUCGCCUCUAGAACCACCACCGGCGAACCAGUCCCGCGAAGACGUCGCUCGCGGCGCGCGGCCCGGGGGACGACCCGGGGACGCGCGUCCCGACGAGCUCCUAACAACCCUUUGGGCGCGGCGAGCGCCAAGGAAUCGAAGCGGAAAGGGCGGCCGCCUCACCCGGUGCGAGCACGCCCCGGCCGGGGAUGCGGCAUCGCGGUGGGGAUCCGCCGCCCGUCUGUGAAUCUCUUAGACGACUCUCGGCAACGGAUAUCUCGGCUCUCGCAUCGAUGAAGAACGUAGCGAAAUGCGAUACUUGGUGUGAAUUGCAGAAUCCCGUGAACCAUCGAGUCUUUGAACGCAAGUUGCGCCUGAGGCCACUCGGCCGAGGGCACGCCUGCCUGGGCGUCACGCCACCCAUCGUCCCCCCCGCGGCAUUCCCAUGCCCCGCCGGGGAGCGGAGACUGGCCGUCCGUGCCCGAGUCCUCGGCGCGCGGUCGGCAGAAAAGGAGGACACCGUGCGGCGCGACACGGCGUGUGGGGGUUGAGAGGCGAUUCGUCGCCGAUCGUACGUCGCGCCCGCAUUCCGCCGCGCGGRUUCACCCGUGGGACCAGAAUCGCCCGCAGCCGCGGGCGCUCGGACCGCGACCCCAGG
rnacentral:rRNA from 1 species